rnacentral:rRNA from 1 species
CCUACGGGGGGCAGCAGUGAGGAAUAUUGGUCAAUGGUCGGGAGACUGAACCAGCCAAGCCGCGUGAGGGAUGAAGGUACAGAGUAUCGUAAACCUCUUUUGUCAGGGAACAAAGGCGGGGACGCGUCCCCGGAUGAGUGUACCUGAAGAAAAAGCAUAGGCUAACUCCGUGCCAGCAGCCGCGGUAAUACGGAGGAUGAGAGCGUUAUCCGGAUUUAUUGGGUUUAAGGGGUGCGCAGGCGGUCUGUUAAGUCAGCGGUAAAAGCCCGGGGCUCAACCCCGGCCCGCCGUUGAAACUGGCAGUCUCGAGUUGGAGAGAAGUAUGCGGAAUGCGCGGUGUAGCGGUGAAAUGCAUAGAUAUCGCGCAGAACUCCGAUUGCGAAGGCAGCAUGCCGGCUCCACACUGACGCUGAGGCACGAAAGCGUGGGUAUCGAACAGGAUUAGAUACCCGAGUAGUC